UGCCGACCGGGUGUUUGCACUAAGUUUGGUAUCAAUAUGGUGACCUCCUAGGAGCAAGGGGCCACCAGGUUGCCUAAGGAUGGGUGAACUGGCCCAGAUCAGGAAGGGAGCAGGUCAGAACACCCACACUGACUGGUAGUGGGACUGUGCCUGGGAA
rnacentral:SRP_RNA from 1 species